rnacentral:lncRNA from 1 species
GGAUCAUAAAGAGGGAGGGGGAGGGAGGACUUCUUUUUGAGGUCAGACAUAUUAACCACUUUAGUUGUUAAUAUUUUAAGAAGGUUCUCUGUGGGUAAUGAGAAAGUUGUAGUGUUACUCAAAUUUGAGCUUGCACCAGAAUUUCCUAGAAGACAUGUUUAAAGACACAGGACCAGGCUCUUUCCUUGAGAAGGACCUGGGACUUUCCAUCUUUAACAGUUUCUGAUAGAUUUUUAUUUGAGGAACAAUGAACUGGACAAAUAAUGGCCCACAGGCCUAGUCAAAUCUACCUAUUUUUAUAAACAAAGUUUUACUGAGACAGCCACGCCCACUGGAUUUGCUUAUUAUCUAUAGCUGCCUUUGCUUCAAUGUCAGGUUCAGGCAGGGACUGCAUGGCUUGCAAAGCUAAGAAUAUUGACCACCUGGCCCUUUCAAGUUUGCCAACUGCUGGGCUCAAAGGAGGCAGCAAAGGUGUGGUUGUGAGAGUGAUGAGUCAGAAAGUAUGUGAGAACUUCUGCCUUUACUAGGUAAAAAUUUGCCUCUCUGAAAAGUGGAGAUUUGCCUAAUUCAGUUUUAGAAGAGCUAGGUCAAGUCAUAUAAAUGACAGUGUUGAUAGUAUGCCCACUAGAUGAAAUGAAUGUUAACCCAGAAAGUCCCAAGUGUUA